rnacentral:lncRNA from 1 species
CUACAUAAGAGUAUAUAUCUGCCUCUUCAAGGAAGAUUCUUUUCUCCAGACGACGCCUUAAAGCCUCAUCUAUGUCCCAUGGGAAAUUAGUAGCCGCCAGAACCAUAACCAUUUUGGAAGGGUCAUCGUUCUCUGAGGCACCUCCAACACCUAAAAGGGCAGAAAGAAUAAAAGUUCCUGCAUGGGAUUCAUGAAAUAAAGCUCAGUUCUUCAGAGCCUAUGACACCCACGGACAGUGAUGCAAGGCAGUGCAGUUUUCCAGCCUCCCGAAGGCUCAGUUGUGAAUACAGACUGCAGGCUCUGGGCUAGCACUAUAACAGAGCCAACCCCGUCCCAACUCAUCUAUGCACAGGCAUGCAUGUACCGUCCAUUUGAACCAGCAGCUCAGCUUUCAUCCUUCGGCUGGCUUCAUGCUCUUCAGAAGUUCCUCGGCGGCUGCAAAUGGAAUCUAUCUCAUCAAUAAAUAUGGUAGCUGGGGAGUAAAACCGAGCCUAAAGGAAGAAACCAAGCAAUAAGAGGCUUUAGGAUUUUGAGCUGCAAGGACAAAUUACUAUUUCUGACGGAUUCUUCUCAAGCACGGAGUCAGAACUGCCUGACUUCCAACAGAGGCGACAGGACACAGGCAAAAAUGGUUGGGCUGACUCUGAUAGUAUCUGAAGGUACAAGGUGAGCUGACAAGGGAGAAAGGCAACCAAUAGUCCUACCCAGCUGAUACCUCUAACAACCCUACAGCUACAGCUCAAGGGAUAGCACAUAAGAGGAGGCAGAAAGAUUGGAAGAGCCAAAGGACCAGGGAGAGUGUGUCUUCUAGACAUGACAGGGAAGCUGCACCCAUGAAAUCCUAACAAUAUGGCUGCCUAAACAAGACCUGCACAACGACACCAGUUAACGUGCCAAUGUGGAUGGAGGAACUCCCUAAGGCAUCGAGCUGAAAUGAAGGCUACAGGCGACUGACUAAUGGCUGCAGAGAGGGGAUAAUCAGUCUUCUCCAGGGACAGGCCAACAGGUAGAUUAUCCAACCAAUGUCAGCACUGAACAUACAUAUGACGGAGAAAGAGAAGGAUCUCACUAUGUUACUUUGGUUGUCCUGCAAUUCCCUAUGAAGACCGCCUUGGCCUAAAGCUCACAGAGAGCCUCUGCCUCUGCCGCUUUCCCUCUGUCAUUGUGAAGAUUCUGUGGAGACGGCCGAUGAGCUCUGACGACUGUGCUUGGCCGGUUACUGUGUGGCUUAGGGUCACUGUGCUGAGAAGACUGGCGUUUCCUAGGUCCUGGUAAGGGUCUAAACAACACAAGGAUAUUAAAGUCAUAAUUCCUGAAGAAGCUGGGCAUACAGAGAACACAAUGGAUAACAAACUUGAGGACGCUGCACCCCAAAGUCUGAAAUGUAAAUCUGGUAUAGCCUCUACGGCCAGGGACACAGUACUGUCAUAUUUACUAGCAACUAGGGCAAAGUGAAAAUGACUUCUACUCAGGACAUCAGUGUACAAGCUACCUUUGCAUGCUGGAAAGUGGUAAAGAGCGAGUAUCAGAGACGAGUGUUCUAUAACAGCCACCAGAACAGAGUGCAAAUGCCCAUGUUUUAACUAAGGCUUUAAUAAUCUUCCUAUUCUAAAAGACUAGGGUGAAAGUUGGUUAGGGUGGCUGGUGCCCUUUAGUUCCUGAAUUUGAAAGACAUAGGCAUGUGGAUCACUGUGAGUUAGACACCAGGACUACAUUGUGAGACCCUGGUUCUCAGUUGCCAGGAUUUAUACAUUGUUCACAACUGUCUGUGACUCCUUUCCAGGAUCCAAUGCUGCUUCUAGCCUCUGCAGGCAGCAGGCAGAGGUUGUAGACAUAGACAUGUGGACAAAACAUGCAUACAUAUGAAGUAGGUAAGGAAAAGUAAUGGCGCUGGAAACUACACAGAUGCAAGGUGCCUUCCGUUCACAGAGAUCCCACUCAUUUCCUCUUGAUUUAGCAGCAGGAUUUAGACCUCCAUAUUUAAUGGCUCUUCAGUUUACCUGGGAUGAAGGAAAACCAGCUAUUAUGUGGCAAGUUCCUCUGUGAAGUGGCUCAC